GGAGCCCCUGGGUGCUGUGCAGAAGCUUCUAGAAAAGCCAUCCAAGGAUGAAGCGGCAGCAGCAGCAGAAGCAGGCGAGGGAGAGAUGGUGGUGGCAUGGCAGCAGAAGCAGAGAGGAGUCAAAGGGUUGUGUGUGUGCCUGCAGUCGUGCAUGCAUGCCUGUGGGUGAGCACGCUCAUGGAAGCUCAGCAGGACGCAUGUCAAGGCCUACAACCAAAUGCUUUCAGAGUCCAGAGCCCUAUUGGGGUGGCAUGUUGCCCCUUGGUGGAGGAAGCCUGCUGUCUAGGCUGAGUUGGCUUGCAGUCAUGGUGGCAUUUGACUUGUCCUGUCUCAUCAAGAAGAGUGUGCUGCUGGCUCACAUGAAGCAGUUACUCUCCACUGUUAAUUGUCUGGUGUUGUCAAUGGCUGGAACAAUAAUGUCUCCUCGGCUGGGAAGUCAAGGCCACAUCAAAGUGCCAGGAAUCAGUGCUCUAAGUGGAUACACAGUGGGGCUGAAGGUUCCCAGGGCACAUUCUGAUCUGUCUCAGCAUGCCAGGGCUUCUUUCCUGGGGUCAUCUGCUUAGCUUUCUGGAAGCUUUUGAGGACACUGUCUUUUCUGAUUUCUGUCUGUCUAUUGAUAAAAACAAAUGCUUAGCUGGGAAAA